rnacentral:rRNA from 1 species
AAUAGAUACCCCGGGUAGUCCACGCCGUAAACGAUGGGCACUAGGUGCCGGGGGGGAGCGACCCCGUCGGUGCCGCAGCUAACGCGAUAAGUGCCCCGCCUGGGGAGUACGGCCGCAAGGCUGAAACUCAAAGGAAUUGACGGGGGCCCGCACAAGCGGUGGGGCAUGUGGUUUAAUUCGAAGCAACGCGAAGAACCUUACCUGGGUUUGACAUGCACGUGAAACUCUCUGGAAACAGGGGGCCCUCUUCGGAGCACGUGCACAGGUGCUGCAUGGCUGUCGUCAGCUCGUGUCGUGAGAUGUUGGGUUAAGUCCCGCAACGAGCGCAACCCUUGUCCCGUGUUGCUAACGGGUAAUGCCGAGGACUCUCGGGAGACUGCCGGCGUCAAGCCGGAGGAAGGUGGGGACGACGUCAAGUCAUCAUGGCCCUUACGCCCAGGGCGACACACGUGCUACAAUGGCCAGGACAGAGGGCAGCGAGGCCGCAAGGCGGAGCGAAUCCCACAACCUGGUCCAAGUUCGGAUUGCGGGCUGCAACUCGCCG